AGAGUUUGAUCCUGGCUCAGGAUGAAUGCUGGUGGCGUGCCUUAGGCAUGCAAGUCGAGCGAACCGACGCAAGUCGGUUAGCGGCGGACGGGUGAGUAAUGGUAGGAAUUUACCUCUUGGUGGAGGAUAGCUCAGCGAAAGUUGGGGUAAUCCUGCAUAAGUUCUCCGGAAGAAAGGCCGUAACUGGCCGCCGAGAGAGAAGCCUGCGUCCUAUCAGCUUGUUGGUGAGGUAAUGGCCCACCAAGGCGAUGACGGGUAGGGGGCGUGAGAGCGUGAUCCCCCACAAGGUAACUGAGACACGGUGCCUACGUCUACGGACGGCAGCAACUAGGAAUAUUCGGCAAUGGGCGAAAGCCUGACCGAGCGACGCCGCGUGCGGGAUGAAGGCCUUCGGGUUGUAAACCGCUGUGGAGAGGGAAAAUUAUGAUUGUACCUCUCUAGAAAGCACCUGCUAACUACGUGCCAGAAGCCUCGGUGAAACGUAGGGUGCAAGCAUUAUCCGGAUUUAUUGGGCGUAAAGAGUAUCGUAGGCGGUUUUGUAAGUGAUUGGUGAAAGCCUCUGGCUCAACCAGAGAACUGCCGGUCAUACUGCAAGACUAGAGUGAUUUCGGGAAGGCUGGAAUUCUCGGUGUAGGGGUGAAAUCCGUUGAUAUCGAGAAGAACACCAAGGGCGAAGGCAGGCCUUUAGAAAUCUACUGACGCUGAUGAACGAAAGCUUGGGGAGCAAAAGGGAUUAGAGACCCCUGUAGUCCAAGCCGUAAACGAUGUUCACUAGCUGGUCCCGCUUUUGCGGAACUGGCGUAAGCUAACGCGUUAAGUGAACCGCCUGGGGAGUACGGCCGCAAGGUUAAAACUCAAAGGAAUUGACGGGGAAACGCACAACCAGGGGAGCAUGUGGUUUAAUUCGAGACAAAGCGAAGAACCUUACCUGGGCUUGACAUCUAUUUGACAGUCCCGUGAAAGCGGGAUCUUCCGCAAGGACAAAUAGACAGCUGCUGCAUGGCUGUCGUCAGCUCGUACCGUGAGGCGUCGGCUUAAGUGCCGCAACGAGCGCAACCCCUGUCCUGUGUUGCAUUUCACAGGAGACUGCCUCGCUACUAGCGGGGAGGAAGGAGGGGACGACGUCAAGUCAGCACGGCGCUUACGCCCAGGGCAACACACAUCCUACAAUGGUGAGGAACAACGGGCAGCGAAACCGCAAGGUCGAGCUAAUCCUAAAAUC
rnacentral:rRNA from 1 species